rnacentral:lncRNA from 1 species
GAACAAAUCGCUAUCGCCUCAAACCUUGCUGCUGAGACCACCACAGCCUGUAUGUCGAUUUCUAGGGAGCCAUGUUAUGCUAAGAAAAAUUGAGGAGGUUUGAGUUCUCAUUUUCUCUUUAUUUUUAAUCGUAGAAUUGAUUAUUGCUUUAAAGUUUCUCUUAAUUCUUUAAUGACGGUUUUGAAAUCAAAUUAACCUAAUUUUGUUUUCUUUUAUUUAUUUUGUAGUCAUAAUCAUUUUCAAUUUCAGUUAAUUUGACAAAUUUUGCAUCCUGACAAGUGCGACAUUAUGGUUGUAUGCAAAUAUUUGUUUUUUUUUUUUUUUAAAUGAUUAGAUUAUUAAUUAGAUCAAUUUCUUUAGGCUGACAGCAUGAAAAGAAACGGAAAAACAAAUGGGUUUUGGUGAUAUUGAGUACAAGCGGUGGAUGCCAACUGUUUUUUAUAAUGGUAUAAUAGAAUAAGCUUGAUUAGUAUUAAGGUUGAGCCGUUGUAAUUUAAAAAGUAAAGUAUACAAAGUAUUUGGUAAAUAUUAGUUGUUGUGACUUAAAAGAUAAAUUGAUUUAAUCGAAUAGUUAUGUGCUGAAAAACUCAUAAUAUAUUUGCUAUUUUUAUUAAAAUUAUUAUUUAAAGUCUUAUUUAUUAUAUAUUAUUGGUUUUUAUUUUAUAGUUAUAAAUUUUUUCCACAAUGACUUAAAAACUAUAACACUUAAAUACCUAAUAGAAUCUUAGUCUCACUUUUCAAAUUAUGUAGUAUUUACUCCAAUAAAUGAAUUGGGAUUUGGGCAUGAUCUGGUCAAGAUAUUGCUUGCCUCCACCUGUGGAACCUCGUAUUUCGAAUCACAUGCCCCAUAUCAUUGAUAUGAUCAAGAAGGUAUUCCUACCGAUGAUGAUUGAAUUUUAGCUAUUACAGUUAAUAGAAAAUUAUUUUAUCUUGCAUUUUUCACAUUUUUCCAACUUUACAAUUUACAAUUAGUAAUAGAGCUGGAGCAUUAUUUGCUGGAAACAAAGGUUUUGAUAAGCCUUUACCACUCAUUAUGAUGCAAAAUUAAUCGGUGAGAAUCUGUUUGUCAAAAAGAGCACAGGGCUCGAUUGCUUUUUUUUUUUUUUAAUAUCCUUGCAUCUAUUCAAAAAUUUAUUCUUAUCAUCACUUUUAUCUGGUCUUCUUAUUCUUUCUUAUUAGGCAUAUAUUCUUAGCAGAGAAUCUGUAGAUUUCUUAGGCACUAUACUGAAUUGAUUCGAAGUAUCCAUUAAGUCAGAUUUUUGUUCUUAUCUCAUUGAAUUCAUGACUCUUGGGAAUAAUUUGUUCUUUUGGCCUUUGAAAUCUACUGGGAAUAUAGUUAACAUAAUAUCUUGUAAGUGUACUUGUCAAUUGAAUUUUCUGUUGAUUUGGUUAGAUUAUACAAUUUUAGGAAUUCCUCCUAUAUCCACGUUCUUUUCUUGUUUCUAUUCCUUGUUAAUUUUGUUAUUAAUUCUUCCUUUGUUUGUGAAAUGUGGAAUUAAAUAUACUCAUUUGCUCUAACACUUGGAUUUGAGGGGCAUGGUCGCUAAGGAACACUUGUUUACAUUAUUUGCGUUACAAUAUUGCUAGUCAAGAAACAAAGGUAGUCAUCAUUAAGUGUACUGCAACAAAUGAUGCCCAUUUUCCCAGUUUGCUAAUUAAAUAGACUACAUUCAUUGUGAUUGGAAUUUCUUAUCUCAAGGGAAGCAAUUCCUUUUGUAAAUGUUGUUACCACGAAGAAUUUUUUUAAUAAAUUACUUACUUUAUCCAUCUCUUUAACCUUCUUAAGAAUUUACUAUUAUAGUAAGUAAUUCGAAUUAUGAUCUAUCUUAUUAUUACCCAACUGAACAAAAAUUUUGAUUUCCAAUUUUUUUUUUUUUUUUUUGAUUCAUAGCUAUUUGGUCAAUGGAAAUCAACAGCCCCAAAAAUAACAUUUGCAGAAUCUAAUUCUUUUCGUGACUAACUAGAUAUUAAUUUAUGUGACUAAAAUUGGUUGUCGUGAAUUUUUUGCUUCUAGCGACGAUAUAAAAAUAAUCGCAUAAAAUUUCCAAAUGCGACUUAACUAGUAUCGAAAUAAUAGAAUACUGUUACGACUAUUAAGUCUUCAAUCUCAACAAGACUCACAAAUCUUGGUGAGUAGAAACACCAAGAACACAAUCGAAAUCAAAUACCAUAACAAAGAAACAAGAUAAGAACCAAAAACAGGGGCACAGACUAGUACACUUGAAGGAAAAUUUACUCGUUGUUAUUGAUCAAGAACUAAUCCAAUCAUUAGUGGAUUUACAGAAGGCUUUACACAGAUCACAAUGAAACAGAUCUUGUGCAAAAUGAUGAACUAAUGAAUACGAAAAAAAACUCUAUAUCAGGCACCAUUCAUCAGCCUUCUUAUAUAUUGGGAAACUGGAUUCGUUAUAACAGAUUAUAACGAAUUCAUGCCACGUCAGUAGACAAUUAUCUAAUAGACCCCAUCAACUGAAGUCAAUCUGCACAACAACUCUCAACUUUUCUAUGUUCUUCAUUUCAGUCCACACACAUGUCUUCACAAAUACAUUGUGUUUAAAAAAAACUUUUGAGACCAUAUUAAUCACCUAUUGCAACCACGAAAAUGUCCAAAAUAAUAACUAACGGAAACAAUAAUGUUACAUCUCGAUAGCUAACAUUUAGUGACGAAUAUGCUGCUGUUGAUUGUAUCUUCUUAACCACAAAAAAAUGUUUAUUUUAAAUACUAUUUGCGAUAAAUUUUACUUACCCUUGUGACGACCAUUUUAAUCUAUAUAGUAUUGUUGAUUGCACUUUUGAGCAUCUAACUCGAUCAUUUCAAAUAUUAUUUAUGACAUGUGUAAGUACCGAAGAGGACUAAACUGCUCAAAACUAAAAUUAUUUGGACAACAAAAGAAUUUUGCUAAAUGAAGGACUUUAUCGAUAUUUUACAAGAGAGACACUGUAACACUCAAGGCUCACUCUCCUUUUUCUCUUCUAAUUCUUCAGUCUUCACUUGAUGCCUACAACAAAAAAUUUAUGAGUAUUUAUAGUAAAAUAGAACUAAUACAAAUCAUACAAAUAUAAAAAUAUAAAAAUAUAAAAAUAUGACAACCACAUUUUAUAAAUAUCUCCAAUAUUCAAGAAAUAUCUAGACAUAGAUAUUUUUAGAGUAGGAAUAUCUCUCAUUCUCUAUACAAUUCUUGAAUCUUUCAUGGACUGAACUUUGAACUUAAGAUUGGACAAAUGUAAUUAGAUCGGAUCAUCAAAUUUGUGUUGGAAUUUUAACACUCCCUCUCAACACAAACUUUUAUCUUUUAAUUCGUACUGAGCUGCUGGCGGAACUCGUUAGACAUUUUAGUACCAAGACGUUUUGUAAACAAAUUUGUAACUUGAUCGUUUGUCUUAACAUACCGUAUUUUAACUUCAUAUUGUAAGAUCUUUUCCUUAAUGAAGUGAUAGUGCACCUCCAGAUGCUUAGUCCUAGCAUGCAAAACUGGAUUUUUGGCUAAGCUAAUUGCCGAUUGAUUAUCAGAAUACAAUGGUACUAUAUAAUCUACUAGUUGGUGUAGAUCCUUCAUUAACUGCAUCAACCAAAUGUAUUUUUGAGCUGCCAUCGUUGUUGUCCUAUACUAUGCUUUUGUGGUUGGCAAUGAUAGAGUUGGUUGUCAUUUACUACACCAAGAAACUACUCCAAUCCUAAAUCUAAAAACAUACUGAGUAGUUGAUCUUCUUGUAUCAUGAUCUUCGAUAUAGCCAGCAUCACAACAACCAAUCAACUUGUAACUUUCACCUUUAUUGUACAAUAGAUUGAAGUCAAUUGUACUUUUCACAUAUCUCAAUAUUCAUCGAACCAUUUCCAAGUGAGGCUUUUCCAAAUUUUGCAUGUAUCGACUGAUUACUCUCACUGCAUAUAAAUGUCUGGUCAAGUCAACGUUAAGUAGAUUAAACUUCCUACUAAUUGUUGAUACAUUGUUCUAUCUUGUAAAUCUUUGCCUUCAUGUGUGCACAAUUUUGCAUUGAGUUUCAUUGGAGUUGAUAUUAGCUUGCAUUCUAACAUUUCAUACUUAUUUAGUAAGUCUUUAGCAAAUUUCUAUUGGCAAAGAAAUAUCCCCUCUUUGUACGAUCAACUUCUAUGCCAAGGAAGUGUUUAAACUGACCAAGCUCUUUUAUUUGAAAACGAACUGAUAAGUUCUCUGUUGUUUACGAAAUCUCUUCUUGAACGUCAUUAGUAAGAAUCAAAUCAUCCACAUACACUAGUCUAGUUGCUAACUUUCCUUCACUAGUUUUGACAAACAAGUUAGAAUCUACAUGUGCUCCUGAAUAGCCACUCUAAGUUAGAAAUUCAAUAAUCUUACUAUACCAUGCCCUUGGUGCUUGCUUUAAAUAGUAAAGUAUCAUUCUCAGCUUGCAUAUAUACUUCGAAUGAGCUUAUUCUUAAAUCCUCUUGGUUGAUUUAUAUAGAUCUCUCGAUCUAAUUCUCCAUGUAGGAAGGUAAUUUUUACAUCCAUCUGUCAUAAUUUCCACUAUUUACUACCUGCAAGUGCAAGUAGGACUUUUACUGUUGUGAGCUUUUCUAACGAACUAAACAUUUUAUCAUAGUCUAGCCUGUAUUGUUGUGAAAAUCCUCGAGCUACCAACCGAGCCUUAUACUUUUCAACUUAACCAUCUGGGUGUUUCUUAAUCUUGUACACUUAUUUACAAGAUACUAAUUUUGCAUCAUUUAGUUUUGGAACCAUAUUUCGAGUCUAAUUCUGCUUCAGUGCAGCGAUUUCUUCUUUCAUCGCCUUCAUCUAGUGAGAAUUUCUAUAUUGUUUUUUCAAACGUCUCAAGUUCUUAUAGUUUUUUUUUCUUCUGCAACCACUGUAUUAGCAUACCUGAGGUUUAGCUUCCUUACUCUUUUAGAUCUUUUAAGUUGAAAUCCAAGGGUUCUUAAUUCUGGUUCACUUGGUUCUUUGUCUUCAAUAGGGCUCUUAUAAACGCCUGUUUGACUUUGUGUUUCAUCAUGCUCGAUAUUAUCAUCCCUUAGAUUAUUAGAAUUUUCAAAUUCUUCCUGGCUUGGGCAAAUUUUGACAAUUCUUUCCUUUAUUUGAUUUUUAAUUUCUUUUAAAUCUGAUAGCUCUUCUUUUUAAAAGACUACCACGAAGAUGCUUCAUCAAACUCCACGUUUCGUGCUGUAUAGCACCGUUCAUUGGUAGGAUUACAACACCUCCAUCUUUUUCUCUAACUGUCAUACUCGAUAAAGAUACAAAGAAUCACCUUUUUGUCAAACUUACUUUGUAAGUGGCUUGGCAAGAAGCCAUAACACGCACGGGUUGAAUAUGCGAAAGUGGUUGAUUGUGGGCUUCUCAUAAUGUGAUACAAACCUUAGUUUUGAUUGAGGAAGUCUAUUGAUCAUAUCAAUUGCCCUCUUUAUAGCUUCGGCACAAAACCUCCCUAUAUUCUUCGCAUGUAUCAUACUCCGAUAUAUCUCCGUUAAAUAUCAGUUCUUUUGUUCUGCUACGCCAUUUUGUUGUGGCAUAUUGGCAAAAGCGAACUGAUGGCAUAUCUUAUAGUCUCGAAGAUUCUGGAAGAACUCAUGUGAUAUACUCUCCCCUAUUGUUUGUUUGUAGACAAAAAACUUUCUUUCUUACUUCUCAUUUGGCUAUAUCUCUGAAUUCUUUAAACUUUGAAAAAGUAUCAUAUUUUACUUUCAUAAAGAAGACCUAGACAUACCUAAAGAAGUCAUCAAUGAAUGUGACCAUGCAUCACAUGCCACUGAUAAAAGAUUAUUUGAUAAGCCCAAACAUGUUAAAGUGUACUAACUCUAAUGGUUCUUUAGCUCUGAACUUUGACUUCUCAUAGAGGAGUUAAGGAGCCAUGCCAUAUUGACACCUUUUACAUGCCAUGUAUAUUCUCACAUCAAGUUAAGGCAGACCUCUGAGCAUUAACUAGCUCACCAUUACCUUCAACUUGUGAUAGUUAACACGUCCCAAUUGAGCAUACCAUAAAUAUAUUGUCUCAAUCUUUCAAGUCUUGUCCACAUAAGCAAACUCUAUUGAUAAUACAUAGAUUGACCCUAACGUUUGUCCUUUCAUAAUAGGUGUCCUCAAGACUUUUAGGUCUUAAUACAUCUUGAUAUGUUGAGAACUGAACAAGACAAAAUUACAUAAUAAUGUUAGUUGUGAUAUUGAGAAUACGUAUUUCUUCAUACUUGGGAUAUAAUGCACAUCUUAAAGUGACACUUUGUGUGGACCAUAUCGUGCUAUAAGAACUGUAGUGCCAACGUGAGUUAUUGACUGUUGCGAGUUAUUUGUUGUUACUACCACAUAACCUCUUUUGUAGUUAGUCAUGUCUUGUAACUUCCUUGUGUCACCAGUCAUGUGAUUUGAACACCCUAAGUCAAUAACCAAAUCACUCUUGUAAUUCCACAAUCCAACAUUAAAAACACACAAUUCAAUUCCAUGACCAUUUCAACCAUACGCAAUUCAAUUCCAAAAUCCAACAUUAAAAACCCACAAUGUAAUUAAAUUAAAAAUACACUUUUCAAUUCCACAAUCCAACAUAAAAAAAUCAUGUUUUAUACAAAUAAAAACACAAUUCAAUUCCACAACCUAAUAUAAAAAAAGAAAAAGAAAAAACCCGUGUUUCAUACAAAUAAAAACACAUAAUUCAAUUCCAAACCAAACAUAAAAAAAAGAACUACUCCAAUACUUGCGGGCAACUUUCAUCUUCGUCCACUUGAAUACAACAACCUUAUAAACCCACUAGCAAACCCAUUUAAAACACCCCAGUAGUCUCACUUGAAUACUAACAACCUCAUCUCAACAACAGCAACCUUAUGAACACACUAGUAACCUUAUUUCAAAUGCACCAGUAGCCUCACUUGAACACUAACAGCCCUAUUUCAAACACACCAGCAACUUUACUUAAACACUAACAACCCUAUUUCAAACACACAAGCGGCCUUAUUUCAACACUAACAACCCAUUUCAACAGUGGCCUCAUAAAAACAUUAGCAACCCUAUUUGAAACACACUAGCAAUCUCAUACCAAAAAUACUCAAAUUUAAACACUUUUAUCAUUCAAAAACAACAACUAUAAGGCAUUGCAAAUACUCGAAUUCAUUGAAAACACAAAAUAUUCACUUAUUUCUUAUCUUCAUUCAAAACUGAACAAAUUUUCACCCUUCACAUAUAUAAAUUCAAACAAAAUAAUGGCCUCCAGUAGCCACUCAAGUGUUAAUUCUAGGGGUCGAGCUAAGAAACAUGCAGAAGUAACCUGCUACUCUAAAUACUGUAAUUGUGGAGUGCAGGCAUCUGCUAUGUUAUCUAUUACAUCAGAAAAUCCUAACAAACUAUUUUUUAUAUGCAGGUGUAAAAAGUAUAAUUUUUGGCAAUGGGCAGCAAAAGAAAACUUAGAAAUGCGUAACACCACAUCUG